UUUCAAACUGGACAAUCCACAAGCAGAAGAAGCACGAGGCACCCUAACAAAGCACAUCCCCGCUUCAAAAUCCAAAGAGCCGGACGAGCUGAAGUGAACUUUCUUCCCAACUUUCCCCAAGAAUAAAACCAGAGCAGUGUGGAAGAAAUGAGACUGCAGAUGAAACAUGAAGUUCAAAAGAGUGACUGAAACCUGAAGUUAAUAGAAAACUUCAUGCAGAUGACCUUUGCCCUCCAUCACCAGAUCAUUCAGGCACAUCCAUUGGUGAAAGACUUCCUGCAGCCGGGCCUUCAGAUCCAAUCACAGGUUUGUGCUGAAGUCCACGGUAUCCCAAAUGUCAGCCUGUGUAACCAGUGUUAUGCUGAUUAUGACAAACGCACACCUAGACUGUCGGCUUUGUAGCGGUACAGAAAAAAGGCAGCACGCACGGGAAAGAUAUCGGGCAC